CCCUGACAGCUUUAUAAUAAAGCUGACUAUAGCCAAGACAGGAGAUCUAAAUG
rnacentral:ncRNA from 1 species